rnacentral:rRNA from 1 species
CCUACGGGUGGCAGCAGUGGGGAAUAUUGCGCAAUGGGCGAAAGCCUGACGCAGCGACGCCGCGUGAGGGAUGAAGGUCUUCGGAUCGUAAACCUCUGUCAACAGGGAAGAAAGGUCACUGUGCUAAUCAGCAGUGAAUUGACGGUACCUGCAAAGGAAGCACCGGCAAACUCCGUGCCAGCAGCCGCGGUAAUACGGAGGGUGCGAGCGUUAAUCGGAAUUACUGGGCGUAAAGCGCUCGUAGGCGGUAUGUCAAGUCAAGGGUGAAAUCCCCGCGCUCAACGUGGGAACUGCCUUUGAUACUGGCAGUCUUGAGUGUGGGAGAGGAUAGUGGAAUUCGAGGUGUAGGAGUGAAAUCCUUAGAUAUCUGGAGGAACAUCAGUGGCGAAGGCGACUAACUGACACAUAACUGACGCUGAGGCGCGAAAGUGUGGGUAGCAAACAGGAUUAGAUACCCCUGUAGUC